rnacentral:rRNA from 1 species
UACAGAGGGUGCGAGCGUUGUUCGGAAUUAUUGGGCGUAAAGGGCGCGUAGGCGGUGCGGUAAGUCACCUGUGAAAUCUCCUGGCUCAACUGGGAGCUUGCAGGCGAAACUGCCGUGCUGGAGUGUGGGAGAGGUGCGUGGAAUUCCCGGUGUAGCGGUGAAAUGCGUAGAGAUCGGAAAGAACACCAACGGCGAAAGCACUCUGCUGGGCCGACACUGACACUGAGAGACGAAAGCUAGGGGAGCGAAUGGG